CGGGGCGUAUCUCAACGAGCUUCUAACUCGUCUUUAAUCGAGUAACUGGAGUAUGCGGGUUCGAGUCCUGCCGCCUCGACCA
rnacentral:tRNA from 1 species